rnacentral:rRNA from 1 species
GUGAAGCUGGAUUCGCUGUAAUCGCGCAUCAGCCAUGGCGCGGUGAAUACGUUCCCGGGCCUUGUACACACCGCCCGUCAAGCCAUGGGAGCCGGGGGUGCUUGAAGUGCGUCGCCGCAAGGCGCGCCCUAGAGCAAAACCGGUGACUGGGGCUAAGUCGUAACAAGGUAUC